AGUGAACGCUGGCGGUAGGCCUAACACAUGCAAGUCGAACGGCAGCACAGUAAGAGCUUGCUCUUACGGGUGGCGAGUGGCGGACGGGUGAGGAAUACAUCGGAAUCUACUUUUUCGUGGGGGAUAACGUAGGGAAACUUACGCUAAUACCGCAUACGACCUAAGGGUGAAAGCAGGGGAUCUUCGGCCCUUGCGCGAUUGAAUGAGCCGAUGUCGGAUUAGCUAGUUGGCGGGGUAAAGGCCCACCAAGGCGACGAUCCGUAGCUGGUCUGAGAGGAUGAUCAGCCACACUGGAACUGAGACACGGUCCAGACUCCUACGGGAGGCAGCAGUGGGGAAUAUUGGACAAUGGGCGCAAGCCUGAUCCAGCCAUACCGCGUGGGUGAAGAAGGCCUUCGGGUUGUAAAGCCCUUUUGUUGGGAAAGAAAAGCAGCAGGUUAAUACCCCGCUGUUCUGACGGUACCCAAAGAAUAAGCACCGGCUAACUUCGUG
rnacentral:rRNA from 1 species